GAUGAACGCUGGCGGCGUGCCUAAUACAUGCAAGUCGAGCGAACGGACGAGAAGCUUGCUUCUCUGAUGUUAGCGGCGGACGGGUGAGUAACACGUGGAUAACCUACCUAUAAGACUGGGAUAACUUCGGGAAACCGGAGCUAAUACCGGAUAAUAUUUUGAACCGCAUGGUUCAAAAGUGAAAGACGGUCUUGCUGUCACUUAUAGAUGGAUCCGCGCUGCAUUAGCUAGUUGGUAAGGUAACGGCUUACCAAGGCAACGAUGCAUAGCCGACCUGAGAGGGUGAUAGGCCACACUGGAACUGAGACACGGUCCAGACUCCUACGGGAGGCAGCAGUAGGGAAUCUUACGCAAUGGGCGAAAGCCUGACGGAGCAACGCGGCGUGAGUGAUGAAGGUCUUCGGAUCGUAAAACUCUGUUAUUAGGGAAGAACAUAUGUGUAAGUAACUGUGCACAUCUUGACGGUACCUAAUCAGAAAGCCACGGCUAACUACGUG
rnacentral:rRNA from 1 species